GAUCGUUCAACUCCUUCCCCUGCUA
rnacentral:tRNA from 1 species